ACUUGAUAAAAGAAUUUUAGUUCUACCUAAAGCCCAAAUAAAGUUUUAUAAACUAACAUUUAUGCUUUAGAGUUAUUCAAAUAAGGUACAGCCUAUUUGAAUAAGGAGACAACCUAAACUAAUGGGUAAAACAUCUACAGUGUAUUAAAGUGGGCCUAAAAGCAGCCACCUUCAAUAAUAGCGUCAAAGCUUACCUACACAAGUACAUUCAAUUUUAUAUCCUAAUCCAAACCCUUUAUUUUCAUCAAGUAAUUCUAUAUAUCUAUAGAACAUAAAAUGUUAAAACUAGUAACAAGAAGUAAACCCUUCUCUUAAAUGCAAGUGUAGGCCAGGAAGGAUAAACCACUGUCAAUUAACACCAAUGAUUUUCAAUUAACAACACCACAAGAGAACCCUAAUAAAACAAAUGUUAAACUAACACAAGAGCAUUUCAAGAAAGAUUAAAAGAAAAAGAAGGAACUCGGCAAACACCAACCCCGCCUGUUUACCAAAAACAUCGCCUCUUGACAAAUAUAAGAGGUCCAGCCUGCCCAGUGACCUAGUUCAACGGCCGCGGUAUCCUAACCGUGCGAAGGUAGCGUAAUCACUUGUUCUUUAAAUGGGGACUAGUAUGAAUGGCAUCACGAGGGUUACACUGUCUCCUUUUUUUGAUCAGUGAAACUAAUCUUCCCGUGAAGAAGCGGGAAUAUCUUUAUAAGACGAGAAGACCCUAUGGAGCUUUAAACAAAUUAACACCUGCUGCCUGAGAUUAUUUUUUCAGAAAUAUAAAACAUAGCAUAGCAUGAUGAUUAAUAGUUUUUGAUUGGGGUGAUCACGGAGUAAAAAACAACCUCCAUGCCGAAAGGGAUUUUACCCUGAGCAAAAAACCACAAUUUUAAGCACUAAAAAAUUAACGUUUAUUGACCCAGUAUAAUGAUCAACGAACCAAGUUACCCUAGGGAUAACAGCGCAAUCCACUUCAAGAGCUCCUAUCGACAAGUGGGUUUACGACCUCGAUGUUGGAUCAGGGUAUCCCAGUGGUGCAGCCGCUACUAACGGUUCGUUUGUUCAACGAUUAAAACCCU
rnacentral:rRNA from 1 species